GACCACGUAACCGUUCUUUCCGUACAACCCUUGUUAUUCGACUCGAUCUAUGCCCGCUUAUCUUCGAUAUUCGGCUUCAAGGUUCGGCUUCAAUUCUACAAGAGUCUGACGUUCUCAUUCCUGCAUUACAUUUCAAUCUCAAGCACAUCAUUAGUAACGUCCAUACUCAAACGUAUUGAAACCAUGUAUACAUGCAUACCUGUCCCAUUCUUUUCAUAGACGAUAAAUCCUACUUCGUUCAUUCAUAUAUUCAUACGUCUGAUCAUACGCACCUACAUAUCUACAUACAAUCAUAUU
rnacentral:lncRNA from 1 species